rnacentral:rRNA from 1 species
AUUGAACGCUGGCGGCAGGCCUAACACAUGCAAGUCGAGCGGAUGAAGGGAGCUUGCACCUGGAUUCAGCGGCGGACGGGUGAGUAAUGCCUAGGAAUCUGCCUGGUAGUGGGGGAUAACGUCCGGAAACGGGCGCUAAUACCGCAUACGUCCUGAGGGAGAAAGUGGGGGAUCUUCGGACCUCACGCUACCAGAUGAGCCUAGGUCGGAUUAGCUAGUUGGUGGGGUAAAGGCCUACCAAGGCGACGAUCCGUAACUGGUCUGAGAGGAUGAUCAGUCACACUGGAACUGAGACACGGUCCAGACUCCUACGGGAGGCAGCAGUGGGGAAUAUUGGACAAUGGGCGAAAGCCUGAUCCAGCCAUGCCGCGUGUGUGAAGAAGGUCUUCGGAUUGUAAAGCACUUUAAGUUGGGAGGAAGGGCAGUAAGUUAAUACCUUGCUGUUUUGACGUUACCAACAGAAUAAGCACCGGCUAACUUCGUG